UACAGAGGUGGCAAGCGUUGUUCGGAAUUACUGGGCGUAAAGGGCGCGUAGGCGGCCUUCUAAGUCAGACGUGAAAUCCCCCGGCUUAACCUGGGAACUGCGUCUGAUACUGGGAGGCUUGAGUAUGGGAGAGGGAUGUAGAAUUCCAGGUGUAGCGGUGAAAUGCGUAGAUAUCUGGAGGAAUACCGGUGGCGAAGGCGGCAUCCUGGACUGGUCCUGACACUCAUGAGCGAAAGCGUGGGGAGCGAUCCGG
rnacentral:rRNA from 1 species